AGCGAACGCUGGCGGCAGGCCUAACACAUGCAAGUCGAACGAACCUUUCGGGGUUAGUGGCGGACGGGUGAGUAACACGUGGGAACGUGCCUUUAGGUUCGGAAUAACUCAGGGAAACUUGUGCUAAUACCGAAUGUGCCCUUCGGGGGAAAGAUUAAUCGCCUUUAGAGCGGCCCGCGUCUGAUUAGCUAGUUGGUUGAGGUAAUGGCUCACCAAGGCGACGAUCAGUAGCUGGUGUGAGAGGAUGAUCAGCCACAUUGGGACUGAGACACGGCCCAAACUCCUACGGGAGGCAGCAGUGGGGAAUCUUGCGCAAUGGGCGAAAGCCUGACGCAGCCAUGCCGCGUGAAUGAUGAAGGUCUUAGGAUUGUAAAAUUCUUUCACCGGGGACGAUAAUGACGGUACCCGGAGAAGAAGCCCCGGCUAACUUCGUG
rnacentral:rRNA from 1 species